GGCUAGAUAGUGUAGUGGUUAUCACGGAGGAUUCUGAAACAUUAUGGACGGACAGUGAUUAUUUAACUUGCACACCGACCGGCAGACGAAUCGAUUCCUUCAACCCAGGUUCGAUCCCUGGUCUGGCCU
rfam:Stereum hirsutum FP-91666 SS1 unplaced genomic scaffold STEHIscaffold_6, whole genome shotgun sequence.